GCAGACCCUUGGGUAGCCCGCGCGCCGCCGCCUUACCUGUCAGCUGCGCGGCCAAGAGGAGCCACAGCCGCGGCCGCAUCGUGGCGCGCCCGGGACACCUGGCCCCGGGGGCUCGGCGGAGACAGUCGCGGCUGGGAAAUAAUGUUGAUAUUUGGAACCCAUGUCGAACUUCUAUGAAGAAAGGACAACGAAGAUUGCAGCCAGGGAUUUGCAGGAAUUUGUUCCUUUUGGUGGAGACCACUGCAAGCACCACCCUAAUGCUUUGAACCUUCAACUUCGCCAGCUGCAGCCAGCUUCUGAAUUAUGGUCUUCUAAUGGUGCUGCUGGCUUUGUGGGAUCCCUUCAGGAGGUUACAAUCCACGAGAAACAGAAGGAAAGCUGGCAGUUAAGGAAAGGAGUAAGUGAAAUUGGAGAAGAUGUGGACUAUGAUGAGGAACUCUAUGUUGCUGGAAAUAUGGUGAUAUGGAGCAAAGGAAGUAAAAGCCAGGCAUUGGCAGUUUAUAAAGCAUUUACAGUUGACAGUCCUGUUCAGCAGGAAGACAUGCAGUUCAUCUCCAUUUGAUGAAGGAAAACUUGUACUUAGAGAAGAAUGCCAGCUAAUAAAUGUAAAAGGAAUUGUAGAAUUAGAAUAUCACCAUUUUGUAACCUCCAUUGCAAUAAUGGAUUCAAACAAGGAUUGUAAAUGGAUACUAACACGGUUGGUUGAAAGAAUAUUACCAUGGCACCAACACAUCACCCUAUGGAUUACCUGGCACUGUGGUGUGACUUCAUUAUAUCACAGGAUAAGUCUGAAAAGGCCUACAGUAGCAAUGAAGUAGAAAAAUGCAUAUGUAUAUUGCAAAGCUCAUGUAUUAACAUGCAUAGCAUAGAAGGAAAGGAUUACAUAGCUUCCUUACCAUUUCAGGUUGCAAAUGUUUGGCCCACUAAAUAUGGAUUGUUGUUUGAACGAAGCGCUUCUUCACAUGAAGUACCUCCAGGUUCACCCAGAGAAUCUUUACCCACUAUGUUCAGCAUGCUGCACCCACUAGAUGAAAUAACUCCACUUGUUUGUAAAUCUGGAAGUCUUUUUGGUUCAUUACGGGUGCAAUAUGUUGUAGAUCAUGCAAUGAAAAUUGUUUUCCUCAAUACUGACCCCUCUAUUGUAAUGACUUAUGAUGCUGUUCAAAAUGUGCAUUCUGUGUGGACUCUCCGGAGAGUCAAAUCAGAGGAAGAGAAUGUUGUUUUAAAGUUCUCUGAACAUGGGGGAACCCCACGGAAUGUGGCCACUAGCAGCUCCCUCACAGCACAUCUCAGAAGCCUCUCCAAAGGAGAUUCCCCUGUGAUUUCACCUUUCCGGAAUUACUCCUCCAUUCACAGCCAGAGUCGCUCAACCUCAUCACCCAGUCUACAUUCUCGCUCACCUUCUAUUUCCAACAUGGCAGCUCUAAGUCGUGCUCAUUCUCCUGCCUUAGGAGUGCACUCUUUUUCAGGGGUGCAAAGGUUCAACAUUUCAAGCCAUAAUCAGUCUCCAAAGAGACAUAGUAUUUCUCAUUCUCCAAAUAUAGAGACGGGAUUUCACCGUGUUAGCCAGGAUAGUCUGGAUCUCCUGACCUCGUGAUCUGCCCGCCUCGGCCUCCCAAAGUGUUGGGAUUACAGAGAGAAAAAUUCACAAGCCUCAAAAGUGUUUAUUACAUCUGACCUAUGUGGGCAAAUUUCCUGUGCUUUUCAGUGGAGUCCCAGCUCCAGUUAUGUGACCAACAUACCAGCGAAGGAUGCAGCACCAGUGGAGAAAAUAGACACCAUGCUGGUCUUGGAAGGCAGUGGAAACCUGGUGCUAUACACAGGAGUGGUUCGGGUGGGAAAGGUUUUUAUUCCUGGACUGCCAGCUCCCUCUCUGACGAUGUCCAACACAAUGCCUCAGCCCAGUACUCCACUUGAUGGCGUUAGUGCUCCAAAGCCUCUUAGUAAACUCCUUGGAUCAUUGGACGAGGUUCUCCUGUUGUCCCCAGUUCCAGAACUGAGGGAUUCUUCAAAACUUCAUGAUUCUCUCUAUAAUGAGGAUUGUACUUUCCAACAGCUUGGAACUUACAUUGAUUCUAUCAGAGAUCCUGUCCAUAACAGAGUCACCCUAGAACUGAGUAAUGGCUCCAUGGUUAGGAUCACUGUUCCUGAAAUUGCCACCUCUGAGUUAGUACAAACGUGUUUGCAAACAAUUAAGUUUAUCCUGCCAAAAGAAAUAGCAGUUCAGAUGCUUGUCAAGUGGUACAAUGUCCACAGUGCUCCAGGAGGACCCAGUUAUCACUCAGAGUGGAAUUUAUUUGUGACUUGUCUCAUGAACGUGAUGGGUUUUAACACAGACCGCUUAGCAUGGACUAGAAAUUUUGACUUUGAAGGAUCACUUUCCCCUGUCAUUGCACCCAAAAAAGCAAGGCCUUCUGAGACUGGAUCUGAUGAUG